CCGGUCCCUCCACGUCAGGCCUGAGCUCCUCUGUGACCAGUGGAAACUGGUUCAGGCCUUUUUGGAGUCCAGAUGAUAGUGACUCCGAUUAGUCCUGAAACUGGUGGAAGCUCUGAGCAGAGAAGUUCCAGCUGACAGGCAGCUCCCACUUCUUACUGCAGGGAUUGGAAAAAAAAAAAAAAACAAGAAAAAAAAAGAAAAAAAAGAAAGAAAAAAAAGAAAAAAAAAAAAAAACCAUCAAGAUCCCUGAACCUAAUAGUAAAAAUCCUCCUUCACAUGUCUUAGCGUCAUCAGAUAAUGUGGGAGGAACGGUAGGUAUGAGCACCUGACAAAUACAGGUGUGUUUGUUCUUCUUUAUCGGAGGUAAGUAUAAUUACAAUCGCACAUAUUUUCAUUUUCAAGUAUUAUCCAUGUUACUAACGUUAUUUCUUUCAUGUCGCUGCUUUCAUCAAAUUAAGGUAAGUUUUUACUUCAAAUGAAGCACUUAUUAAGGAUUUAAUAUCUGUUCCUGAUCAUUUAUAAUUGAAGCAUUUUACUGACAUUUGCACUUUCUGUUUUGUUUCAUCAUCCAUCAUCCAGGAGUUCUCUGAACAGAGCUCCUGGAUGAUGGACAGAGAAGACCGGACCGACCAGACCAGAAGGAUGGAUGACCAGGAACCAACUGGAGAGAGGAGGAGUGUUUUCAGUCAGCUGACUAAGUCAGCGCUCCACUUCAGACGCCCCUGCCUCCAACAGCACCCUCUCCAGCCACUGAGGGGCGUCC
ensembl:lncRNA